rnacentral:tRNA from 1 species
ACGGUGGUGGUUUAGUGGUAGAAUUCUUGCCUUGCAUGUAUGAGAUCUGGGUUCUAUUCCCAGCUAAUGCG